GCUGGCGGCAUGCCUAAUACAUGCAAGUCGAACGAGGGUCCUUCGGGACUCGAGUGGCGAACGGGUGAGUAACACGUAGGGAACCUGCCCGUGCGACCGGGAGAACUUUCGGAAACGGAAGCUGAUACCGGAUAGGGACAGAGACGGCAUCGACUCUGUGUUAAAGGAGCUGAAAGGCUCCGCGCACGGAUGGACCUGCGGUGCAUUAGCUAGUUGGUGAGGUAACGGCCCACCAAGGCGACGAUGCAUAGCCGGCCUGAGAGGGCGGACGGCCACACUGGGACUGAGACACGGCCCAGACUCCUACGGGAGGCAGCAGUAGGGAAUUUUCGUCAAUGGGCGCAAGCCUGAACGAGCAAUGCCGCGUGAACGAGGAAGGUCUUCGGAUCGUAAAGUUCUGUUGAAGGGGAAAAAGAGCGGAGAGAGGAAAUGGUCUCCGAUUGAUAUUACCCUUCGAGGAAGUCACGGCUAACUACGUGCCAGCAGCCGCGGUAAUACGUAGGUGGCGAGCGUUAUCCGGAAUGAUUGGGCGUAAAGGGUGCGUAGGCGGCCUGCUAAGUCUGGAGUGAAAGGUACCGGCUCAACCGGUACAGGCUCUGGAAACUGGCGGGCUAGAGAGCAGGAGAGGGCGGUGGAACUCCAUGUGUAGCGGUAAAAUG
rnacentral:rRNA from 1 species